rnacentral:rRNA from 1 species
AUUGAACGCUGGCGGCAUGCUUUACACAUGCAAGUCGAACGGUAACAGGCCGCAAGGUGCUGACGAGUGGCGAACGGGUGAGUAACGCAUCGGAACGUGCCCUGUCGUGGGGGAUAACGCAGCGAAAGCUGUGCUAAUACCGCAUACGAUCUAUGGAUGAAAGCGGGGGACCGUAAGGCCUCGCGCGAUUGGAGCGGCCGAUGUCAGAUUAGGUAGUUGGUGGGGUAAAGGCCCACCAAGCCAACGAUCUGUAGCUGGUCUGAGAGGACGACCAGCCACACUGGGACUGAGACACGGCCCAGACUCCUACGGGAGGCAGCAGUGGGGAAUUUUGGACAAUGGGCGCAAGCCUGAUCCAGCAAUGCCGCGUGCAGGAAGAAGGCCUUCGGGUUGUAAACUGCUUUUGUACGGAACGAAACGGUCUGGGUUAAUACCCUGGGCUAAUGACGGUACCGUAAGAAUAAGCACCGGCUAACUACGUGCCAGCCGCCGCGGUAAAAC